GGAGGGUACAGCUCAGUGGUAGAGCGCGUGCUUAGCAUGCAGGAGGUCCUGGGUUCAAUCCCCAGUCCCUCCA
rnacentral:tRNA from 1 species